UACCAGCACCCCGAGUGGUCGGGACGUUUAUUGGGCCUAAAGCAUCCGUAGCCGGUUCUGCAAGUCCUCCGUUAAAUCCAACUGCUUAACAGGUGGGCUGCGGAAGAUACUAUAGAGCUAGGAGGCGGGAGAGGCAAGCGGUACUCGAUGGGUAGGGGUAAAAUCCGUUGAUCCAUUGAAGACCACCAGUGGCGAAGGCGGCUUGCCAGAACGCGCUCGACGGUGAGGGAUGAAAGCUGGGGGAGCAAACCGG
rnacentral:rRNA from 1 species